rnacentral:rRNA from 1 species
GACGAACGCUGGCGGCGUGCUUAACACAUGCAAGUCGAACGGAAAGGCCCUGCUUUUGUGGGGUGCUCGAGUGGCGAACGGGUGAGUAACACGUGAGUAACCUGCCCUUGACUUUGGGAUAACUUCAGGAAACUGGGGCUAAUACCGGAUAGGAGCUCCUGCUGCAUGGUGGGCGUUGGAAAGUUUCGGCGGUUGGGGCUGGACUCGCGGCUUAUCAGCUUGUUGGUGGGGUAGUGGCUUACCAAGGCUUUGACGGGUAGCCGGCCUGAGAGGGUGACCGGCCACAUUGGGACUGAGAUACGGCCCAGACUCCUACGGAAGGCAGCAGUGGGGAAUAUUGCACAAUAGGCGGAAGCCUGAUGCAGCAACGCCGCGUGCGGGAUGACGGCCUUCGGGUUGUAAACCGCUUUCGCCUGUGACGAAGCGUGAGUGACGGUAAUGGGUAAAGAAGCACCGGCUAACUACGUG